rnacentral:rRNA from 1 species
GUUGGUGUUGAUUGCGGUGAGGGUCCACCCGUUUCCAUCCCGAACACGGAAGUUAAGCUCACCUGCGCCGAAAAUACUUGUCUGGAGACGGACCGGGAAGAUAGGUAAUGCCAACA